rnacentral:misc_RNA from 1 species
GAUUAAGAACGUAGCGAAAUGCGAUAAGUAAUGUGAAUUGCAGAAUUCAGUGAAUCAUCGAAUCUUUGAACGCACAUUGCGCCCCUUGGUAUUCCGAGGGGCAUGCCUGUUCGAGCGUCAUUUCAACCCUCAAGCACAGCUUGGUCUUGGGCUUCGCCGCUAACCCGGCGGGUCUUAAAAUCAGUGGCGGUGCCGUCGGGCCCUGAGCGCAGUAAUCUCUCUCGCUAUAGGGUCCCGGCGGAUGCUGGCCAGUAACCCCCAAUUUUCUAUGGUUGACCUCGGAUCAGGUAGGGAUACCCGCUGAACUUAAGCAUAUCAAUAAGCGGAGGA